rnacentral:misc_RNA from 1 species
AAAUAUCAACUCUUUUCACCUUGUGUGAUUUGAGCUUGGACUUGGAGGCUUGUGCUGGCUCUCUUUUGAACCGGCUCCUCUUGAAAGCAUUAGCUUGAACCUGGUCGGAUCGGCUUUCGGUGUGAUAAUUGUCUACGCCGUGGUCGUGAAGGCAUCUUGUGGGAUCAGCUUACAGUCGUCUUCGGACAUAUAUCAUUUUAUGAC